rnacentral:rRNA from 1 species
AGAGUUUGAUCAUGGCUCAGAUUGAACGCUGGCGGCAGGCCUAACACAUGCAAGUCGAACGGUAACAGGAAGCAGCUUGCUGCUUCGCUGACGAGUGGCGGACGGGUGAGUAAUGUCUGGGAAACUGCCUGAUGGAGGGGGAUAACUACUGGAAACGGUAGCUAAUACCGCAUAAUGUCGCAAGACCAAAGAGGGGGACCUUCGGGCCUCUUACCAUCGGAUGUGCCCAGAUGGGAUUAGCUUGUUGGUGGGGUAACGGCUCACCAAGGCGACGAUCCCUAGCUGGUCUGAGAGGAUGACCAGCCACACUGGAACUGAGACACGGUCCAGACUCCUACGGGAGGCAGCAGUGGGGAAUAUUGCACAAUGGGCGCAAGCCUGAUGCAGCCAUGCCGCGUGUAUGAAGAAGGCCUUCGGGUUGUAAAGUACUUUCAGCGGGGAGGAAGGGAGUAAAGUUAAUACCUUUGCUCAUUGACGUUAUCCGCAGAAGAAGCACCGGCUAACUCCGUGCCAGCAGCCGCGGUAAUACGGAGGGUGCAAGCGUUAAUCGGAAUUACUGGGCGUAAAGCGCACGCAGGCGGUUUGUUAAGUCAGAUGUGAAAUCCCCGGGCUCAACCUGGGAACUGCAUCUGAUACUGGCAAGCUUGAGUCUCGUAGAGGGGGUAGAAUUCCAGGUGUAGCGGUGAAAUGCGUAGAGAUCUGGAGGAAUACCGGUGGCGAAGGCGGCCCCCUGGACGAAGACUGACGCUCAGGUGCGAAAGCGUGGGGAGCAAACAGGAUUAGAUACCCUGGUAGUCCACGCCGUAAACGAUGUCGACUUGGAGGUUGUGCCCUUGAGGCAUGGCUUCCGGAGCUAACGCGUUAAGUCGACCGCCUGGGGAGUACGGCCGCAAGGUUAAAACUCAAAUGAAUUGACGGGGGCCCGCACAAGCGGUGGAGCAUGUGGUUUAAUUCGAUGCAACGCGAAGAACCUUACCUGGUCUUGACAUCCACGGAAGUUUUCAGAGAUGAGAAUGUGCCUUCGGGAACCGUGAGACAGGUGCUGCAUGGCUGUCGUCAGCUCGUGUUGUGAAAUGUUGGGUUAAGUCCCGCAACGAGCGCAACCCUUAUCCUUUGUUGCCAGCGGUCCGGCCGGGAACUCAAAGGAGACUGCCAGUGAUAAACUGGAGGAAGGUGGGGAUGACGUCAAGUCAUCAUGGCCCUUACGACCAGGGCUACACACGUGCUACAAUGGCGCAUACAAAGAGAAGCGACCUCGCGAGAGCAAGCGGACCUCAUAAAGUGCGUCGUAGUCCGGAUUGGAGUCUGCAACUCGACUCCAUGAAGUCGGAAUCGCUAGUAAUCGUGGAUCAGAAUGCCACGGUGAAUACGUUCCCGGGCCUUGUACACACCGCCCGUCACACCAUGGGAGUGGGUUGCAAAAGAAGUAGGUAGCUUAACCUUCGGGAGGGCGCUUACCACUUUGUGAUUCAUGACUGGGGUGAAGUCGUAACAAGGUAACCGUAGGGGAACCUGCGGUUG